UACGGGGGGAGCAAGCGUUGUUCGGAAUCACUGGGCGUAAAGGGAGUCUAGGCGGUUUGGUAAGUGGGAUGUGAAAUCCCCGGGCUCAACCCGGGAACUGCGUCCGAUACUGGCAGGCUUGAAUUCGGGAGAGGGAUGUGGAAUUCCAGGUGUAGCGGUGAAAUGCGUAGAUAUCUGGAGGAACACCGGUGGCGAAGGCGGCAUCCUGGACCGAUAUUGACGCUGAGGCGCGAAAGCCAGGGGAGCGAACGGG
rnacentral:rRNA from 1 species